rnacentral:snRNA from 1 species
AUACCUUUCUCGGCCUUUUGGCUAAGAUCAAGUGUAGUAUCUGUUCUUAUCAGUUUAAUAUCUGAUAUGUGGACCAAUGGUCCAUACGAUAUUAAAUUAAAUUUUUUAAGGGGUGAGUCCAUCACAGUAGCUUGCUACUGGGGCUCACACGUGUCAUCCUUGUCUUGCACUACUGCAAGGUUUGGCGCACCCUAC